UCAAGCUGAAACCAUGAGGGAGCAUCGCUUGCUGGCUCACUCACUGGCUGAAGCAACUGGACCUGAGGCUAGGGGAACCUGAUCUAUUGAUUCCGGAGCUGGGCAGCCAGAAGCCCUAGACAAACAAAUACCACCACCGUGAAGCUGGCCCAGUGUCCUCCCAUGACCCAGCAGCUACAGGAAAUGGUAGGACAGCUUUUUGAGAGCUUCCCCCAACAGCCACCAGCUGGAGAAUAACACAGGAGGGUCGUGAACGUCUUCUCCCGCAUUGGUUUUACUCUUGGAAGGGUAUGUGUGGAAUUAAGCCAUUAAAGGCAGUUUUUAUGAAGAA